CAAUAGCGUAUAUUAAAGUUGUUGCAGUUAAAAAGCUCGUAGUUGGAUUUCUGGUAGGAGCGACCGUGCCGAACUUGCUUGUUCGAGUAUUGUGUUGUCUUCAGCCAUCCUCGUGGAGAACUUUUCUAACAUUAACUUGUUGGGAUUGGGACCCGCGUCGUUUACUGUGAAAAAAUUAGAGUGUUUAAAGCAGGCAUUAGCUUGAAUACAUUAGCAUGGAAUAAUAAGAUAGGACUUUGGUACUAUUUUGUUGGUUUGCAUACCAAAUUAAUGAUCAACAGGAACAGUUUGAGGAUAUUCGUAUGAACAUGUCAGAGGUGAAAUUCUUGGAUUUUGAUCAGACGAACUACUGCGAAAGCAUUUAUCAAGGAUGUUUUCAUUAA
rnacentral:rRNA from 1 species